rnacentral:rRNA from 1 species
UGAAACUCAAAAGGAAUUGACGGGGACCCGCACAAGCGGUGGAUGAUGUGGUUUUAAUUCGAUGCAACGCGAAAAACCUUACCCACCUUUGACAUGUACGGAAGUUACCAGAGAUGGUUUCGUGCUCGAAAGAGAACCGUAACACAGGUGCUGCAUGGCUGUCGUCAGCUCGUGUCGUGAGAUGUUGGGUUAAGUCCCGCAACGAGCGCAACCCUUGUCAUUAGUUGCUACGAAAGGGCACUCUAAUGAGACUGCCGGUGACAAACCGGAGGAAGGUGGGGAUGACGUCAAGUCCUCAUGGCCCUUAUAGGUGGGGCUACACACGUCAUACAGUGGCUGGUACAGAGGGUUGCCAACCCGCGAGGGGGAGCUAAUCCCAUAAAACCAGUCGUAGCCCGGAUCGCAGUCUGCAACUCGACUGCGUGAAGUCGGAAUCGCUAGUAAUCGCGGAUCAGAAUGUCGCGGUGAAUACGUUCCCGGGUCUUGUACACACCGCCCGUCACACCAUGGGAGCGGGUUCUGCCUGAAGUAGUUAGCCUAACCGCAAGGAGGGCGAUUACCACGGCAGGGUUCAUGACUGGGGUGAAGUCGUAACAAGGU